AUUGAACGCUGGCGGCAGGCCUAACACAUGCAAGUCGAGCGGAUGAAGGGAGCUUGCUCCUGGAUUCAGCGGCGGACGGGUGAGUAAUGCCUAGGAAUCUGCCUGGUAGUGGGGGAUAGCGUCCGGAAACGGGCGCUAAUACCGCAUACGUCCUGAGGGAGAAAGUGGGGGAUCUUCGGACCUCACGCUAUCAGAUGAGCCUAGGUCGGAUUAGCUAGUUGGUGGGGUAAAGGCCUACCAAGGCGACGAUCCGUAACUGGUCUGAGAGGAUGAUCAGUCACACUGGAACUGAGACACGGUCCAGACUCCUACGGGAGGCAGCAGUGGGGAAUCUUGGGCAAUGGGCGAAAGCCUGACGCAGCCACGCCGCGUGAGUGAAGAAGGUCUUCGGAUCGUAAAGCUCUGUAAGUUGGGAGGAACGGCAGUAAGUGAAUACAUUGCUGUCUUGACGGUACCAACAGAAUAAGCACCGGCUAACUACGUG
rnacentral:rRNA from 1 species